rnacentral:rRNA from 1 species
GACAGAGGGUGCGAACGUUGCUCGGAAUUACUGGGCGUAAAGCGCGUGUAGGCGGGUGAUCAAGUCAGGUGUGAAAUCCCCAGGCUCAACCUGGGAACUGCACUUGAAACUGGUCGCCUUGAGUGUUGGAGAGGGAAGCGGAAUUCCUGGUGUAGAGGUGAAAUUCGUAGAUAUCAGGAGGAACACCGGUGGCGAAGGCGGCUUCCUGGACAAUUACUGACGCUGAGGAGCGAAAGCGUGGGGAGCGAACAGG